rnacentral:rRNA from 1 species
AACCGGACGAAGGAGUCUAACAUGUACGCGAGUCAUUGGGCGAAUGAAACCCAAAGGCGCAAUGAAAGUGAAGGUUCCCUUCGGAACUCUAGGGAGGAUCCGCGAACGAGGAUGUCAAAGUCCGUCCGUUCCGGCGCACUCCCGGGGCGUCCCAACCGCUACUUGCCGGUGGGGCGCACCUAGAGCGUACACGUUGGGACCCGAAAGAUGGUGAACUAUGCCUGGCCAGGACGAAGCCAGAGGAAACUCUGGUGGAGGUCCGUAGCGAUUCUGACGUGCAAAUCGAUCGUCGGAGCUGGGUAUAGGGGCGAAAGACUAAUCGAACCAUCUAGUAGCUGGUUCCCUCCGAAGUUUCCCUCAGGAUAGCUGGUGCUCGGAGAGUUGGAUGAAUUUUUAUCAGUCUCAUCCGGUAAAGCGAAUGAUUAGAGGCCUUGGGGCCGAAAUGACCUCAACCUAUUCUCAAACUUUAAAUGGGUGAGAAGUCGGGCUUGCUUGACACAACCCUCACGGGUUUGAAGCCUGACAAAGGAUGAAUGAGCACCCAGUGGGCCACUUUUGGUAAGCAGAACUGGCGCUGUGGGAUGAACCAAACGCCGGGUUACGGCGCCCGAUACGACGCUCAUUAGACCCCAUGAAAGGUGUUGGUUGCUUUAGACAGCAGGACGGUGGCCAUGGAAGUCGGAAUCCGCUAAGGAGUGUGUACUAACUCACCUGCCGAAGCAACUAGCCCUGAAAAUGGAUGGCGCUAAAGCGUCGAGCUUAUA